rnacentral:rRNA from 1 species
AGUGGCAAACGGGUGAGUAACGCGUAGACAACCUGCCGCAAAGAUGGGGACAACAGUCCGAAAGGACUGCUAAUACCGAAUGUUGUCANAUUUCCGCAUGGGAGCCUGAUUAAAGAUGGCCUCUACUUGUAAGCUAUCGCUUUGCGAUGGGUCUGCGUCUGAUUAGCUAGUUGGUGGGGUAACGGCCUACCAAGGCGACGAUCAGUAGCCGGUCUGAGAGGAUGAACGGCCACAUUGGAACUGAGACACGGUCCAGACUCCUACGGGAGGCAGCAGUGGGGAAUCUUCCGCAAUGGGCGAAAGCCUGACGGAGCAACGCCGCGUGAGUGAAGAAGGGUUUCGGCUCGUAAAGCUCUGUUGACGGGGACGAAUGUGCGAAAUGCGAAUAGUUUUUCGCAAUGACGGUACCCGUCGAGGAAGCCACGGCUAACUACGUGCCAGCAGCCGCGGUAAUACGUAGGUGGCGAGCGUUGUCCGGAAUUAUUGGGCGUAAAGGGAGCGCAGGCGGGAAGGCAAGUCAGUCUUAAAAGUGCGGGGCUCAACCCCGUGAUGGGAUUGAAACUGUCUUUCUUGAGUGCAGGAGAGGAAAGCGGAAUUCCUAGUGUAGCGGUGAAAUGCGUAGAUAU